CGGCGGACGGGUGAGUAAUGUAUGGGGAUCUGCCUGAUGGCGGGGGAUAACUACUGGAAACGGUAGCUAAUACCGCAUAACGUCGCAAGACCAAAGAGGGGGACCUUCGGGCCUCGCGCCAUCAGAUGAACCCAUAUGGGAUUAGCUUGUAGGUAAGGUAACGGCUUACCUAGGCGACGAUCCCUAGCUGGUCUGAGAGGAUGACCAGCCACACUGGAACUGAGACACGGUCCAG
rnacentral:rRNA from 1 species